GUGCCAGCAGCCGCGGUAAUACGGAGGGUGCAAGCGUUGUCCGGAUUUAUUGGGUUUAAAGGGUGCGUAGGUGGCCCUAUAAGUCAGUGGUGAAAGUCUGCAGCUUAACUGUAGAACUGCCAUUGAUACUGUAGGGCUUGAGUACUGAUGAGGUAGGCGGAAUUGAUAGUGUAGCGGUGAAAUGCAUAGAUAUUAUCAAGAACACCGAUUGCGAAGGCAGCUUACUAAGGAGUUACUGACACUGAGGCACGAAAGCGUGGGGAUCAAACAGGAUUAGAAACCCUUGUAGUCC
rnacentral:rRNA from 1 species